GUCAAUGUAUUCUAAUUAAAUUCUUUUUGUAUUUACAUGCGAAUUCAUGAAAAACUAGAAAUGUCUUCUACAACCAAUAUAUGGACACCUGCUACAACAUAAAGACUCAAUUGAGACAUUUCAUUUCUCUAUAUUUCUCCGGGGAAGCACGUGACAAUGCCUGCGAAAUGACGGCGUAAUGAGAUUGGGAGAGUGAGAAGGGAAGAAAAGAAGAGGGUGAGGGUUUGGAUGGCGUCUAGGAGGGCCUCGGUGGGGUCCUCGAUGUUCUACUUCACCACUUCUUCCUCGUCUUUGCCGCAGGACCCAUUGUUGCUACGUUCCUUC
rnacentral:lncRNA from 1 species